rnacentral:misc_RNA from 1 species
UUAACUUAUUAUAAUGUUACUCAGACGACACAAAAAUCAAGAGUUUAGGGUCCUCUGGCAGGCGCGGACCAGCCUAAGCCAGCGGUCAAAAGACGGGCCUGCCAAAGCAACAAAGGUAAUGUAAACAAAGGGUGGGAGAUCUACCCCGAAGGGCAAUUUCUCUGUAAUGAUCCUUCCGCAGCGGAAGUGUAGCUGCUAUUUCUAGCAGCCUCCCGACUUUCUCUGUAAUGAUCCUUCCGCAGCGGAAGUGUAGCUGCUAUUUCUAGCAGCCUCCCGAUCAUAUCUUAACCCUAAUGGGCCACCUCCAUUUGAUCUGUGAGCCUAUGUCUAGGCUGCUGGUAUUACAAGUGUAAAUCCCAGCACAGUGGAGAUGUUGCCUGCUAAUGCAGACUUUUUAUUCUGGCGAACCUGCAAGAGAUGUUCACCUACGGAAA